GCAUCCUGAUCUCUAGACAGCAUUUAACCUCAGCCGUAUGCACCUCAAAUUGGAGACCUAAAUCAAUGGAUUAGCAGUAGGGGAAGGGCCAGCAGUCCGAUCGAAGAGAAAAGAAAGCAUGGUGAGGACAAGAGCACACAACUCCAUCGCCUCUCUUGGACAAUUUCUCACCGAAACUAAGGGUGGAGCCCGAGAAUCUGCAACAGCACAACCCUCUGUCACAUCCGACCCG
rnacentral:lncRNA from 1 species